UACAGAGACUGCAAGCGUUAUUCGGAUUCAUUGGGCGUAAAGGGUGCGUAGGCGGCGGGGCAAGUCGGAUGUGAAAUCUCAGGGCUCAACCCUGAAACUGCAUUCGAUACUGCCUUGCUCGAGGACUGGAGAGGAGAUUGGAAUUCACGGUGUAGCAGUGAAAUGCGUAGAUAUCGUGAGGAAGACCAGUGGCGAAGGCGGAUCUCUGGACAGUUCCUGACGCUGAGGCACGAAGGCCAGGGGAGCAAACGGG
rnacentral:rRNA from 1 species